rnacentral:rRNA from 1 species
GACGGAGGGUGCAAGCGUUAUCCGGAUUUAUUGGGUUUAAAGGGUGCGUAGGCGGCUUAGUAAGUCGGUGGUGAAAACUAGCAGCUCAACUGUUAGAUUGCCAUUGAUACUGCUAGGCUUGAGUAUAGUCGAGGUGGGCGGAAUUCUACAUGUAGCGGUGAAAUGUAUAGAUAUGUAGAGGAACACCAAUAGCGAAGGCAGCUCACUAGGCUAUUACUGACGCUGAGGCACGAAAGCGUGGGGAGCAAACAGG